rnacentral:rRNA from 1 species
UACAGAGGUCUCAAGCGUUGUUCGGAUUCAUUGGGCGUAAAGGGUGCGUAGGUGGCGCUGUAAGUCGGGUGUGAAAUUUCGGAGCUUAACUCCGAAACUGCAUUCGAUACUGCGGUGCUUGAGGACUGGAGAGGAGACUGGAAUUCAUGGUGUAGCAGUGAAAUGCGUAGAGAUCAUGAGGAACACCGGUGGCGAAGGCGGCUCACUGGACCACUACUGACGCUGAGGCGCGAAAGCUAGGGGAGCAAACAGG